rnacentral:rRNA from 1 species
CAUAUGGUAGGAGAGCGUUCCGUAAGCCUGAGAAGGUGUCUUGUAAAGGAUGCUGGAGGUAUCGGAAGUGCGAAUGCUGACAUGAGUAGCGAUAAAGAGGGUGAAAAGCCCUCUCGCCGAAAGCCCAAGGUUUCCUGUUCAACGUUCAUCGGAGCAGGGUGAGUCGGCCCCUAAGGCGAGGCAGAGAUGCGUAGCUGAUGGGAAGCAGGUUAAUAUUCCUGCACCGUCGUAUGAUGCGAUGGGGGGACGGAUCGCGGAAGGUUGUCCAACUGUUGGAAUAGUUGGUUCUUGACUCAUAGAAGGCGCUUAGGCAAAUCCGGGCGCGUAAUUCAAGGGGUUGAGACGUGUGUCCUUGUGACACGAAGCAAUCGGAAGUGGUUCCAAGAAAAGCCUCUAAGCUUCAGUCAUACGAGACCGUACCGCAAACCGACACAGGUGGGCGAGAUGAGUAUUCUAAGGCGCUUGAGAGAACUCGGGAGAAGGAACUCGGCAAAUUGGUACCGUAACUUCGGGAUAAGGUACGCCCCGGUAGCUUGAUUGGUUUACUCCAUGAGGGUGAAAGGGUUGCAAUAAACUGGUGGCUGCGACUGUUUAAUAAAAACACAGCACUCUGCAAACACGAAAGUGGACGUAUAGGGUGUGACGCCUGCCCGGUGCUGGAAGAUUAAAUGAUGGGGUGCAAGCUCUUGAUUGAAGUCCCAGUAAACGGCGGCCGUAACUAUAACGGUCCUAAGGUAGCGAAAUUCCUUGUCGGGUAAGUUCCGACCUGCACGAAUGGCGUAACGAUGGCCACACUGUCUCCUCCCGAGACUCAGCGAAGUUGAAAUGUUUGUGAUGAUGCAAUCUACCCGCGGCUAGACGGAAAGACCCCAUGAACCUUUACUGUAGCUUUGCAUUGGACUUUGAACCAAUCUGUGUAGGAUAGGUGGGAGGCUUUGAAGCGGGGACGCCAGUUCUCGUGGAGCCAACCUUGAAAUACCACCCUGGUUCGUUUGAGGUUCUAACCUUGGCCCGUGAUCCGGGUCGGGGACAGUGCAUGGUAGGCAGUUUGACUGGGGCGGUCUCCUCCUAAAGUGUAACGGAGGAGUUCGAAGGUACGCUAGGUACGGUCGGACAUCGUGCUAAUAGUGCAAUGGCAUAAGCGUGCUUAACUGCGAGACCGACAAGUCGAGCAGGUACGAAAGUAGGACAUAGUGAUCCGGUGGUUCUGUAUGGAAGGGCCAUCGCUCAACGGAUAAAAGGUACUCUGGGGAUAACAGGCUGAUUCCUCCCAAGAGUUCAUAUCGACGGGGGAGUUUGGCACCUCGAUGUCGGCUCAUCACAUCCUGGGGCUGUAGCCGGUCCCAAGGGUAUGGCUGUUCGCCAUUUAAAGUGGUACGUGAGCUGGGUUUAAAACGUCGUGAGACAGUUUGGUCCCUAUCUGCCGUGGGCGUUGGAAAUUUGAAGGGGGCUGCUCCUAGUACGAGAGGACCGGAGUGGACGAACCUCUGGUGUACCGGUUGUCACGCCAGUGGCAUUGCCGGGUAGCUAAGUUCGGAAGAGAUAACCGCUGAAAGCAUCUAAGCGGGAAACUCGCCUUGAGAUGAGAUUUCCCGGAGCCUUGAGCUCCUUGAAGGGUCGUUCGAGACCAGGACGUUGAUAGGUCAGGUGUGGAAGUGCAGUAAUGCAUUAAGCUAACUGAUACUAAUUGCCCGUACGGCUUGUCCCUAUAACCUUGGCAG